rnacentral:rRNA from 1 species
CGGGAAACUGGGGAUAAUCCCGGAUAGAGCUCGGUCGCUGGAAUGCUCCGAGAUCCAAAGCGCCGGCGCGCAAGGAGGGGUCUGCGGCCUAUCAGGUAGUAGUGGGGGUAGCGUACCUACUAGCCUACGACGGGUACGGGUUGUGAGAGCAAGAGCCCGGAGAUUGAUUCUGAGACACGAAUCCAGGCCCUACGGGGUGCAGCAGGCGCGAAAACUUUACAAUGCCGGCAACGGCGAUCAGGGAACCUCGAGUGCCAGGUUACACAUCUGGCUGUCGUGAUGCCUAAAAAGCAUUGCAUAGCAAGGGCCGGGCAAGACCGGUGCCAGCCGCCGCGGUAAUA